GGCGCAUUGGUCUAAUUGGUAAGGAUAUGGGACUUUCAAUUCCAUGGUAUCGGGUUCAAAUCCCGUAUGCGUCA
rnacentral:tRNA from 1 species